rnacentral:lncRNA from 1 species
GAGGGGGCAAGGGGUUUAACUGUUAUGCUGUUAUGGGGCAAUUUAAUUCUUUGUUAUCUGUUAUUUUGAAAAUAUAUUCGCUGUUAGCUGUUAUUGUCUUAUUCUUUGUUAGCUGUUAUUGGGCUUUUAGUUUUUUUGUUAUCUGUUAUUGUGAUAAUUAAUGUAUUUGCUGUUAACUGUUAUUGAAAAUUGGAAUGUUAGCAUUUUUUUUGACAGUCAAUAUUCGGUAUAAAUUGAAGAUCAUUGGACAUUGGGGUCUACCACUACUGAUAUGUUUGUCCCGUAUUCAGAGAAGGAUUCCAUUAACAUAUACCCAUCACAGAAGUGAGGUCCAGGACAAUUCAAGUAUAUCUUAUGAUUAUCCUUUGUAAUAAAUUCCAUUUUUUUUUAUGAAUGUGUAUUUAGAAUUAUCUUAAUUUUUUGUAUGAGAAUAAUGUUCCUUGUUUCCCGUACGAACAUAUUAAAUUAAAACAAUUCUUAAUAUGACAAAAAGGAAAACAUAUGGCCAGGAAUAUCUGACAAGGAUCUCAAUUAAGGACUAGGUCCUAACAACCACUUAACCUUUUAUAUAAUAUGGUACAUAGACUCAGCUCUGUGAUUCUUUUCAAAGCAGAACCAAAUGCAUUGUACAAUGAAAGUUCCAACCAUGUACUUGGGUCCGAAGCUGCACAUAACUCAUUACAAACAAAGAUUUAUUUCGUUUCAAGCCAUUGUUGCCCUAC